GUGGGGAAUAUUGGACAAUGGGGGGAACCCUGAUCCAGCCAUGCCGCGUGUGUGAAGAAGGCCUUUUGGUUGUAAAGCACUUUAAGUGGGGAGGAGGCUUACCUGGUUAAUACCUGGGCUAAGUGGACGUUACCCACAGAAUAAGCACCGGCUAACUCUGUGCCAGCAGCCGCGGUAAUACAGAGGGUGCGAGCGUUAAUCGGAUUUACUGGGCGUAAAGCGCGCGUAGGUGGUUAAUUAAGUCAAAUGUGAAAUCCCCGAGCUUAACUUGGGAAUUGCAUUCGAUACUGGUUGGCUAGAGUAUGGGAGAGGAUGGUAGAAUUCCAGGUGUAGCGGUGAAAUGCGUAGAGAUCUGGAGGAAUACCGAUGGCGAAGGCAGCCAUCUGGCCUAAUACUGACACUGAGACACGAAAGCAUGGGGAUCAAACAGGAUUAGAUACCCUUGUAGUCC
rnacentral:rRNA from 1 species